GUUAAGCGACUAAGCGUACACGGUGGAUGCCCUGGCAGUCAGAGGCGAUGAAGGACGUGCUAAUCUGCGAUAAGCGUCGGUAAGGUGAUAUGAACCGUUAUAACCGGCGAUUUCCGAAUGGGGAAACCCAGUGUGUUUCGACACACUAUCAUUAACUGAAUCCAUAGGUUAAUGAGGCGAACCGGGGGAACUGAAACAUCUAAGUACCCCGAGGAAAAGAAAUCAACCGAGAUUCCCCCAGUAGCGGCGAGCGAACGGGGAGCAGCCCAGAGCCUGAAUCAGUGUGUGUGUUAGUGGAAGCGUCUGGAAAGGCGCGCGAUACAGGGUGACAGCCCCGUACACAAAAAUGCACAUGCUGUGAGCUCGAUGAGUAGGGCGGGACACGUGGUAUCCUGUCUGAAUAUGGGGGGACCAUCCUCCAAGGCUAAAUACUCCUGACUGACCGAUAGUGAACCAGUACCGUGAGGGAAAGGCGAAAAGAACCCCGGCGAGGGGAGUGAAAAAGAACCUGAAACCGUGUACGUACAAGCAGUGGGAGCACAGAGCAAUCUGUGUGACUGCGUACCUUUUGUAUAAUGGGUCAGCGACUUAUAUUCUGUAGCAAGGUUAACCGAAUAGGGGAGCCGAAGGGAAACCGAGUCUUAACUGGGCGUUAAGUUGCAGGGUAUAGACCCGAAACCCGGUGAUCUAGCCAUGGGCAGGUUGAAGGUUGGGUAACACUAACUGGAGGACCGAACCGACUAAUGUUGAAAAAUUAGCGGAUGACUUGUGGCUGGGGGUGAAAGGCCAAUCAAACCGGGAGAUAGCUGGUUCUCCCCGAAAGCUAUUUAGGUAGCGCCUCGUGAAUUCAUCUCCGGGGGUAGAGCACUGUUUCGGCAAGGGGGUCAUCCCGACUUACCAACCCGAUGCAAACUGCGAAUACCGGAGAAUGUUAUCACGGGAGACACACGGCGGGUGCUAACGUCCGUCGUGAAGAGGGAAACAACCCAGACCGCCAGCUAAGGUCCCAAAGUCAUGGUUAAGUGGGAAACGAUGUGGGAAGGCCCAGACAGCCAGGAUGUUGGCUUAGAAGCAGCCAUCAUUUAAAGAAAGCGUAAUAGCUCACUGGUCGAGUCGGCCUGCGCGGAAGAUGUAACGGGGCUAAACCAUGCACCGAAGCUGCGGCAGCGACGCUUAUGCGUUGUUGGGUAGGGGAGCGUUCUGUAAGCCUGCGAAGGUGUGCUGUGAGGCAUGCUGGAGGUAUCAGAAGUGCGAAUGCUGACAUAAGUAACGAUAAAGCGGGUGAAAAGCCCGCUCGCCGGAAGACCAAGGGUUCCUGUCCAACGUUAAUCGGGGCAGGGUGAGUCGACCCCUAAGGCGAGGCCGAAAGGCGUAGUCGAUGGGAAACAGGUUAAUAUUCCUGUACUUGGUGUUACUGCGAAGGGGGGACGGAGAAGGCUAUGUUGGCCGGGCGACGGUUGUCCCGGUUUAAGCGUGUAGGCUGGUUUUCCAGGCAAAUCCGGAAAAUCAAGGCUGAGGCGUGAUGACGAGGCACUACGGUGCUGAAGCAACAAAUGCCCUGCUUCCAGGAAAAGCCUCUAAGCAUCAGGUAACAUCAAAUCGUACCCCAAACCGACACAGGUGGUCAGGUAGAGAAUACCAAGGCGCUUGAGAGAACUCGGGUGAAGGAACUAGGCAAAAUGGUGCCGUAACUUCGGGAGAAGGCACGCUGAUAUGUAGGUGAGGUCCCUCGCGGAUGGAGCUGAAAUCAGUCGAAGAUACCAGCUGGCUGCAACUGUUUAUUAAAAACACAGCACUGUGCAAACACGAAAGUGGACGUAUACGGUGUGACGCCUGCCCGGUGCCGGAAGGUUAAUUGAUGGGGUUAGCGGUAACGCGAAGCUCUUGAUCGAAGCCCCGGUAAACGGCGGCCGUAACUAUAACGGUCCUAAGGUAGCGAAAUUCCUUGUCGGGUAAGUUCCGACCUGCACGAAUGGCGUAAUGAUGGCCAGGCUGUCUCCACCCGAGACUCAGUGAAAUUGAACUCGCUGUGAAGAUGCAGUGUACCCGCGGCAAGACGGAAAGACCCCGUGAACCUUUACUAUAGCUUGACACUGAACAUUGAGCCUUGAUG
rnacentral:rRNA from 1 species